rnacentral:rRNA from 1 species
GAUGAACGCUAGCUACAGGCUUAACACAUGCAAGUCGAGGGGAAACGGCAUCGACAUCUUGCUUUUGAUGGGCGUCGACCGGCGCACGGGUGAGUAACGCGUAUCCAACCUGCCCACCACUUGAGGAUAACCUUGCGAAAGUAAGACUACUACCCAAUGAUAUCUCACGAAGACAUCUGAAUGGGAUUAAAGAUCUAUACGUGAUGGUGGGGGAUGCGUCUGAUUAGCUGGUUGGCGGGGUAACGGCCCACCAAGGCAACGAUCAGUAGGGGUUCUGAGAGGAAGGUCCCCCACAUUGGAACUGAGACACGGUCCAAACUCCUACGGGAGGCAGCAGUGAGGAAUAUUGGUCAAUGGGCGAGAGCCUGAACCAGCCAAGUAGCGUGCAGGAAGACGGCCCUAUGGGUUGUAAACUGCUUUUAUAAGGGAAUAAAGUGGGUCACGUGUGACUUUUUGCAUGUACCUUAUGAAUAAGGACCGGCUAAUUCCGUG